rnacentral:rRNA from 1 species
UGGGGAAUAUUGCACAAUGGGCGCAAGCCUUAUGCAGCCAUGCCGCGUGUAUGAAGAAGGCCUUCGGGUUGUAAAGUACUUUCAGCGGGGAGGAAGGGAGUAAAGUUAAUACCUUUGCUCAUUGACGUUACCCGCAGACGAAGCACCGGCUAACUCCGUGCCAGCAGCCGCGGUAAUACGGAGGGUGCAAGCGUUAAUCGGAAUUACUGGGCGUAAAGCGCACGCAGGCGGUUUGUUAAGUCAGAUGUGAAAUCCCCGGGCUCAACCUGGGAACUGCAUCGGAUACUGGCAAGCUUGAGUCUCGUAGAGGGGGGUAGAAGUACAGUUGAAGCGGUGAAAUGAGUAGAGAUCUGGAGGAAUACCGGUGGCGAAGGCGGCCCCCUGGACGAAGACUGACGCUCAGGUGCGAAAGCGUGGGGAGCAAACAGG